GAUGAACGCUGGCGGCGUGCCUAAUACAUGCAAGUCGAGCGAAUGACGAGGAGCUUGCUCCUCUGAUUUAGCGGCGGACGGGUGAGUAACACGUGGGUAACCUGCCUGUAAGACGGGGAUAACUCCGGGAAACCGGAGCUAAUACCGGAUGAUAACGAGAAGCGCCUGCUUCUUUUUUGAAAGUCGGUUUCGGCUGACGCUUACAGAUGGGCCCGCGGCGCAUUAGCUAGUUGGUGAGGUAACGGCUCACCAAGGCAACGAUGCGUAGCCGACCUGAGAGGGUGAGCGGCCACACUGGGACUGAGACACGGCCCAGACUCAUACGGGAGGCAGCAGUAGGGAAGCUUCGGCAAUGGACGUAAGUCUGACCGGGCAACGCCGCGUGAGCGAUAAAGGCCUUCGGGUCGUAAAGCUCUGUUGUCAGAGAAGAACAAGUACCGGAGUAACUGCCGGUACCUUGACGGUACCUGACCAGAAAGCCACGGCUAACUACGUGCCAGCAGCCGCGGUAAAAC
rnacentral:rRNA from 1 species